AAGGAAAGUAUCCAAAAUCAUUCUAUGAGGAUAGCAUUACCCUAUACCAAAACCAGAAGGACACUCCAACAAAAGGAAACUACAGGUCAGUAUGUCUGAUUAACACAGAUGUAAAAAUCCUCAACAAAA